rnacentral:rRNA from 1 species
CCAUCGCACGAAUCACUGCAGUCGAGCGGAUGAGGGAGCUUGCUCCUGGAUUCAGCGGCGGACGGGUGAGUAAUGCCUAGGAAUCUGCCUGGUAGUGGGGGAUAACGUCCGGAAACGGGCGCUAAUACCGCAUACGUCCUGAGGGAGAAAGUGGGGGAUCUUCGGACCUCACGCUAUCAGAUGAGCCUAGGUCGGAUUAGCUAGUUGGUGGGGUAAAGGCCUACCAAGGCGACGAUCCGUAACUGGUCUGAGAGGAUGAUCAGUCACACUGGAACUGAGACACGGUCCAGACUCCUACGGGAGGCAUCAGUGGGGAAUAUUGGACAAUGGCCGAAUGCCUGAUCCCGCCAUGCCGCGUGUGUGAAAAAUGUCUUCGGAUUGUCGCUCACUUUAAAUUUCGACGAACGUCUACCGGUUUCUACCUUGCUGUUUUUGGAUGCCAUUUCAAUGUUGAGCCCGGGGAUUUCAUGUCCC